AUUUCAGUCAAGUCAAGGUCAAUGAAAACCACAAAAAAUUACAUGUGUUUUGGGUCAAAGUAUUCUCUGAAUUCCAGACAGCAAUUUCAUUGGUUCUGUGACAGUAUGGAGUGUAAGUAAUGUAGUUACAAUGAUUGAAGGAAUAAUCAACUGUGUGUUGACUGUGUGUGGUGCCUCAAUAAUACGGAUGUGGUUAGCAGUUAGGAAAUAAGAAAACAGAACAUGCAAAAAAUCAAAACAUUAUUACAGCUCUUACUUGAACAGCUGUUUCAGAAGGAACAUUUAUAAAAAGAGAAAGAGUUGUGACCUGGUUUCCCAGCACCACAUCUCAGAUGUAUUAUAUUUGGACAUUUGACAGAUGCCAGCUUUUGUUCAGGUUUAGUAUUUCAUUUAUUGGGCAAACAGUCAAGUCACUGUCACCGGUUAUCAGACGGUGUUGACCGUCUACCCAGAGGGCGUCUCAAUCAAACUCUUAAGUUUAAAAGGUAGCCCAAGCUGAAGGCCACGUUUUCAUUCAUCCGGGAAGCGGUGCACCGGUAGAAGCCACCAUCGGAGGGCAGCAGUGAGCUGAAGCGGAGAGUGGAGUUGCCAGCCAGCAAUUCUACCCUGGAGGGCCGUCGUUCGCUGCCAUCGGGAGUCGAACCUGCCACCUCUGGACUGCCAAGCGCAACCACUACCAGCUACGCCAAAGAAAAGUUAGCUCUUCAUUGACGCGGGUGGCCCAUUACAUACCUGAGGAGUGAGUUUCAUCAGUUCACACCGGUUACAUAAUCAUGGGAUUAAUAUGGUUGAGGUUGGGUGGAAGUGUCUCUUCCAUGCAUCUAUUUGCAUGUAUUAUGCUGUACUGACCUUGAUUGUUCCAUUCACUGUAUGUACAGUAUAAACAUACUGAUAACAGUUUGAUACAGUAGAUUAGGUGCAAACACUAUCAAGGGCUACCUUGCUCUACUGUUUAGUUAGACUGGAAUUGAACUAAAGUACAACCAUGGAAUCAGAUGUAUGCACACGAUAGUCCUGUAUCCGUUU